rnacentral:lncRNA from 1 species
UCUCAGAGCUUCUGCAACGGCUUCCCCAACAGGUUUCUCAGUUUGGUAUACUGCUGCUGUGUCAAAGUGACGAUAACCCAACUUAACGGCUUCUAUUAGAAUCGAUGGUUUCACCACUUCAAUGCCAGCUAUGCUUGAUUCUGUAGCUGUGCCCAUUGCGAUCACUGGCACCGGCACCGGCCGAGCACCUUCCGAAGAGCUUAUCUUCGUCUCUGGAAUAGUUGCCAUUUUUGGUGUUUUUUCUUUGCUACAUUUUGAGAUUAUAUGAUCUUCUGGGGAUUUAUGGGGGGGAUCUGCAGCGGUUUUCCCGCGUGGCAAACCCCCUUGCCGAACACGUUUACCGCACCACUCCGUAUACCCUAAG